UCUCUCAUAGUGUAGUGGUCAUCACUCUAGGUUUUGAUUCUAGCAACAUGGGUUCGACUCCCAUUGAGAGAU
rnacentral:tRNA from 1 species